CCGAGCCCUCCGUGCCCCCGCUGGCAGAAAACGAUCCCGGCGUGCGGCCCCACCGGCUUCAUCGAGAAGAUCAACUGCGCCUCGUCCCACCGGGAUGAGUACAAGAGCUGCCGCUCGGCCGCGCUGGAGGCGCAGCGGUUCUGGCGCUUCGUGGGCUCCGCUCUGGGCGUGGCGGCGGCGGCGGCGGCGCUGGUGGUGCUGCGGCAGCGCGUGCUGGACCGGCGGGCGCUGGAGAAGGUCCGCAAACAGAUCGAGUCCAUUUAGCCCAAGGCUCCCGAGGGCUUGGAGCCGGGAAUUCUGCUCGCCCGGAGCGGUGGGAGGAGAGGCAGCCCCAGACUUGCUGCCCGGACCUGGAGUCCUGCUGGGAUCUGCCCUGGGAGGGCAUCCAGGGCAUCCCCUGGAGCAGGAUGUGGAACAAAUCCUUGGGUUCAUCCCUUGGGGGGAAUCCCCGUGCCCCCAGCGCUGGGAUCUGCUCUGGGAUCAUCCUCCAGGAGAGGGAUGUGGAAUAAAUCCUGGUCAUCGUUCCUGGAGUGAUGCUGUGGUUGUUUCUUGGGAGGAUCCCUGGUUCCUCAGGAACCCUCCCCAGGAGUGGAAUGUGGAAUAAAUCCUGAUCCCUGUGACUGGAGCAGCACUGGAACAUUUGGCCUUUGUGGGUCCCCCGACAUUCCAUGGUGUGCAAACAGAGUUCGGGUUUAUUCUGGAACGUUCCCCCACCCUGAGGUCCCCCCAUCACAUCUCAUCCCCAUGUCCCCGUGUCCCUGUCCCCGUGUUCUGCCUGGAGGAAUUGGUGCCUGGAUUCCUCCGGGGUGCGGGAAUUCCAUCCCCAGGCCCCUCCCUGGCUCCGUCCUCCACUCCCGAUCCCGGCUCUGGCCCCGACAUCCACCGGGGGAACAGGGAUUCUGCGGCCUCUCCCGGUUCCCGCCGCGUCAGGAUGUUCCUGGAGAUCACUGCGGGAACGGGGACAGCCAUGGGGCCGCGUGGGGGCGGGAGGGGCUGUGCCCGACCCCUCCCGGUGCUCCCGUUACCUCCGGUGGGUCCGAGGCCGUCCCGGCUGCCGCCGCGGCGGAACGGGCUGGAGCUGGGGAGCAGGAUCAGCCCCAGGGACAGGAACAGGAUCUGCGGGAGGGGUGGGAGCCGUGAGCCCCGGAGCGGGGCCGGGAUGGUACCGGGAGGGUCCCGGAGAGGCCGUACCAGGACACAGGUGCCGGUCUGCGCGGGCUUGGUGGACGUUUCCUUGAUCAGCGCCUGGAGCUGCCGCAGGAGAGACCUGCGGGAAGGGGGUUCAGCUCCGUGCCCCAUCCCGGUGCCCCAUCCCGGCUCCGUGCCCCUCCCGGUGCCUCCCGUGCUCACCCGUUGCUCGUCUCCAGCUCCUGGACCUUUUUCCGCAGCUCCUGGUUCAGGGCAGAGCACGCGGCAGCCCUGACAGAAACAGGGACAAUAACCGGGAUGGGGACACACCGGGGCGUGCCGGGAUAACCGGAAGGUCGGGAUAACGGCAACGCCAGCCCCACCUGCUCUCCAGCUCGUCCAGGUAUUCCUUCUUCCUCCGCCGGCUGUCCUGCGCCGACUGCUUGUUCCGGAUCUUCCUCCGCACCUUUUUUAGG
ensembl:lncRNA